GUGCAGCAGGCGCGAAAACUUUGCAAUACACGAAAGUGUGACAGGGUUAUCCCGAGUGCCGACCGCUGAGGUUGGCUUUUACCCAGUCUAGAAAGCUGGGGGAAUAAGGAGAGGGCAAGUCUGGUGUCAGCCGCCGCGGUAAUACCAGCUCUCCGAGUGGUGUGGACGUUUAUUGGGCCUAAAGCAUCCGUAGCUGGCUGGACAAGUCCCCUGUUAAACCCACCGAUUUAAUCGUUGGCGUGCGGGGGAUACUGCUCGGCUAGGGGACGAGAGAGGCAGACGGUAUUCCCGGGGUAGGGGUGAAAUCCUAUAAUCCCGAGAAGACCACCAGUGGCGAAGGCUGUCUGCUAGAACGCGCCCGACGGUGAGGGAUGAAAGCUGGGGGAGCGAACCGGAUUAGAUACCCGGGUAGUCCCAGCUGUAAACGAUGCAGACUAGGUGUUUGGACGGCCACGUGCCGUUCUAGUGCCGCAGGGAAGCUGUUAAGUCUGCCGCCUGGGGAGUACGAUCGCAAGAUUGAAACUUAAAGGAAUUGGCGGGGGAGCAC
rnacentral:rRNA from 1 species